rnacentral:rRNA from 1 species
GACGAACGCUGACGGCGUGCCUAAUACAUGCAAGUCGAGCGAAUCUUUUGGGAGCUUGCUCCCAAAAGAUUAGCGGCGGACGGGUGAGUAACACGUGGGCAACCGGCCUAUAAGAUUGGGAUAACUUCGGGAAACCGGAGCUAAUACCGGAUACGUUCUUUUUUCGCAUGAGAGAAGAUGGAAAGACGGCUUCUAGCUGUCACUUAUAGAUGGGCCCGCGGCGCAUUAGCUAGUUGGUGGGGUAAUGGCUCACCAAGGCGACGAUGCGUAGCCGCCCUGGGAGGGUGAUCGGCCACACUGGGACCGAGACACGGCCCAGACUCCUACGGGAGGCAGCAGUAGGGAAUCUUCCGCAAUGGACGAAAGUCUGACGGAGCAACGCCGCGUGAACGAAGAAGGCCUUCGGGUCCUAAAGUUCUGUUGUUAGGGAAGAACAAGUACCAGAGUAACUGCUGGUACCUUGACGGUACCUAACCAGAAAGCCACGGCUAACUACGUGCCAGCAGCCGCCGUAAAAC